rnacentral:misc_RNA from 1 species
AAGGUCGUAACAAGGUUUCCAGUAGGUGAACCUGCGGAAGGAUCAUUACCGAGUUCUGCCUGCUCUGCAGGAACUCCCACCCUUGAUUACUAUAGCGUUGCUUCGGCGAGACGCUGGAAACGGCCAUUGAUAUUGAACCAAAUGUCGAUGCGUGCUCGCCGGAGUUCAUACUCUGCAUUAUGUGUCGUCAGAGAAUCAAAAACUCUAUAAAAG